UUAAUUUUCUACAUCGGUCUAAAUCGUGCCAGCGAGAUUUCCUGAGAGCAGCAGCACAUUUAAUUGGGGCAGGAAAAAGGAAAAUGUGGAGCACGAAUGAUAACAGGUGUUCUCGAUAAAACGCAGCAAAGACCUUGAACACAACCACACUCUAUGCGCAUGCUCGACUCUGGAGCCCGGCAGCCAUAUUUCUCUUGGAUCUGUGGAAAGAUGGAAAUUAUCAGGAAUUACCGCGAUCACGGCCCGAUAGCGAUGACAAACGGCUCUACAGUAUCGGGUUCCCUAUCGACAUUCCGACAAACACCACAACUCACCAAUUUGUUCCUCGCCGUCAUGCAGGCGCGGAAAGUACAGAUGUCAGAAAAAAGAUAACCUCCCUGCUUCCCAACCUUCGGUGUCGCAGUUGAUUCGAUAUUCAAGAGCUUCUUCCUAAUAACACGACUUCCAUGAUGGAUGUGGACGACAAAAUGGACAACACAACACAAGGUUCCCAAAGAUACAGGUUGAUGAAGACAGUGGACAAACUUCAUGGUCAUCAGUCAUGAUCUCAUUGCAAUAUGUUAUGAUUUUGUGUGAAAUUAAAGUCGAUUUUGGUUAAGCUCAUUAGUGGGCCUCGCUCACUUUGUUAUCACUGCACCAGUUCUCGCCAUGAGGACAUGCCAUUAAUAGGGUUUUUACCUAGAUUUACAUUGCGGGUGAUUUCGAUGAGGCAGCAAACGCUUACUUUUCCGGAGCAUCUGGUCUUCUACUCCUUGUUCAUUUUACCUAUCUUAUCAAUUUUUGAGUUCAAUUAACGGUUGUGAUGACACGUAAAUGUUCUCUUUUCUUUUUGCUUUUCGCAAAAUGAGCUUCUCUAUUUA